GAAUAGAAACAAAUUUUGUUGGACAAGUUCUUUUACUAUAAAAAUCUAAAAUAUUGUUUUUUUUUUCUUCUAAAAGUGACGUCAUUAAAGAUCAGACCCUCUUCAGUAUUUUAGGGUCAACACAUUUCAUACAUUGUGUUAAUGAUUUCACAACAUUAUUGCACAACGUAUUUUAAUAGUGGAUUGCACAAGUUUUAUUCACCGCGACUAGAGGUAUUAUCAUACCGUCCGCAUGCGAUACAGAGUUCGCACAAAUAUCUUCGCUCUAAAUGAGGAUACUUGACUUUUUUGAGAAUAAUUUAUCCCGCGAGAUUACUAUUUUAGUGCUGUUUUUUGUUAAGUUAUAAAAAUCAUAGGUAAUUGUCGUUGGAAUUUGGGUACGGUUAUAAUAGUUUUGAAAUUGGUGUUUUAUGUAAAUGUAGUGUAUUUAACUAAACAUGACAAAUCACCCGGGCUUGGUUGCCAGGGUGAAUCUAUGUUAACUACAUUAUUAACUAAAUGUCAAUUGAUAAUUAUCUAUGCCUGUGUUUUAAGUGAAGUGUGUAGAAGUGUUCAGAUACCGGGUUCCAAGCCAAGGUCCACCAUACCUGACAUAACUGCUCUGCGGCACAGGCGCAUCAGAAUGGGUCAUGGUGGUGGGGUCCAGCUCGAACAGCGUGGCGAUCUCCGACGAGUGAGGCACGGAGACCAGCUGGAAGGCCGGCUCGUAUGGAUCCACUGGUGCUUCACUGGUGAUUACAGAUUCCGGGCUGCUUUAAGUUCCUAAAAGCCACAAAGCUAUUUCGGCCUAUCCCGGGAACAUAACCCGAGACUUCAUGCAACAACUAUAUGAAGACCAACGACACAUUUGUCGUCUGCUAAACAUAAGCCAUCGACAGCUUAACAUAUUCCUCCCUCAUUGAUUUAUUUUUCAAAAGCACCCACAUAAAUAUAUUAUUUCAAAUUACUGAAACAUACCCGUG
rnacentral:lncRNA from 1 species